UUAUAAAAUCUUUUUUUACUUCUAAUAGCGCUCUUACACGACAUGUAUUUGCAUAUGUAAAUGCUACUUUUCUAAUACGUUCUAAUAUAUGGUACAUAC